UACGUAGGGGGCAAGCGUUGUCCGGAAUCAUUGGGCGUAAAGAGCGUGUAGGCGGCCCGGUAAGUCCGCUGUGAAAGUCGAGGGCUCAACCCUCGAAUGCCGGCGGAUACUGUCGGGCUAGAGUCCGGAAGAGGCGAGUGGAAUUCCUGGUGUAGCGGUGAAAUGCGCAGAUAUCAGGAGGAACACCUACGGCGAAGGCAGCUCACUGGGACGGUACUGACGCUGAGACGCGAAAGCGUGGGGAGCAAACAGG
rnacentral:rRNA from 1 species